rnacentral:rRNA from 1 species
AUUGAACGCUGGCGGCAGGCCUAACACAUGCAAGUCGAGCGGUAGAGAGGUGCUUGCAUCUCUUGAGAGCGGCGGACGGGUGAGUAAUGCCUAGGAAUCUGCCUAGUGGUGGGGGAUAACGUUCGGAAACGGACGCUAAUACCGCAUACGUCCUACGGGAGAAAGCGGGGGAUCUUCGGACCUCGCGCCAUUAGAUGAGCCUAGGUCGGAUUAGCUAGUUGGUGAGGUAAUAGGCUCACCAAGGCGACGAUCCGUAACUGGUCUGAGAGGAUGAUCAGUCACACUGGAACUGAGACACGGUCCAGACUCCUACGGGAGGCAGCAGUGGGGAAUA